UUCGGAAUGAAGAGUGUUGUGACUGAGCGGCGGACGGGUGAGUAACGCGUGGGUAACCUGCCUCAUACAGGGGGAUAACAGUUAGAAAUGACUGCUAAUACCGCAUAAGACCACGGUACCGCAUGGUACAGUGGGAAAAACUCCGGUGGUAUGAGAUGGACCCGCGUCUGAUUAGCUAGUUGGUAAGGUAACGGCUUACCAAGGCGACGAUCAGUAGCCGACCUGAGAGGGUGACCGGCCACAUUGGGACUGAGACACGGCCCAAACUCCUACGGGAGGCAGCAGUGGGGAAUAUUGCACAAUGGGGGAAACCCUGAUGCAGCGACGCCGCGUGAAGGAUGAAGUAUUUCGGUAUGUAAACUUCUAUCAGCAGGGAAGAAAAUGACGGUACCUGACUAAGAAGCCCCGGCUAACUACGUGCCAGCAGCCGCGGUAAUACGUAGGGGGCAAGCGUUAUCCGGAUUUACUGGGUGUAAAGGGAGCGUAGACGGUUACGUAAGUCUGAUGUGAAAACCCGGGGCUCAACCCCGGGACUGCAUUGGAGACUAUGUAACUAGAGUGUCGGAGAGGUAAGUGGAAUUCCUAGUGUAGCGGUGAAAUGCGUAGAUAUUAGGAGGAACACCAGUGGCGAAGGCGGCUUACUGGACGAUGACUGACGUUGAGGCUCGAAAGCGUGGGGAGCAAACAGGAUUAGAUACCCUGGUAGUCCACGCCGUAAACGAUGCAUACUAGGUGUCGGGUGGCAAAG
rnacentral:rRNA from 1 species